UACAGAGGUCUCAAGCGUUGUUCGGAUUCAUUGGGCGUAAAGGGUGCGUAGGCGGCGCGGUAAGUCGGGUGUGAAAUCUCGGGAGCUUAACUCCGAAACUGCAUUCGAUACUGCCGUGCUUGAGGACUGGAGAGGAGACUGGAAUUUACGGUGUAGCGGUGAAAUGCGUAGAUAUCGUAAGGAAGACCAGUGGCGAAGGCGGGUCUCUGGACAGUUCCUGACGCUGAGGCACGAAGGUCCAGGGGAGCAAACGGGAUUAGAACGUAC
rnacentral:rRNA from 1 species